rnacentral:rRNA from 1 species
AAAUGGCCGCAGUAUUUUAACUGUGCAAAGGUAGCAUAAUCAUUAGUCUUUUAAUUGAAGGCUUGUAUGAAUGGCUGGACGAGAUACUAACUGUUUCAUAAAAAUUAAUUUAGAAUUUUAUUUUUUAGUUAAAAAGCUAAAAUGUUUUUAAAAGACGAGAAGACCCUAUAGAUCUUUAUAUUUUAUGUAUUAUAAUUAUUUAGGUUAUUUAAGUUAUGAUUAUAUAAAGUAUUUUGUUGGGGUGACAUUAAAAUUUAAUUAACUUUUAAUUAAUAUUUACAUUAAUUUAUGAAUAAUUGAUCCAUUAAUAAUGAUUAAAAAAUUAAGUUACCUUAGGGAUAACAGCGUAAUUUUUUUGAAGAGUUCAUAUCGAUAAAAAAGAUUGCGACCUCGAUGUUGGAUUAAGAUAUAAUUUUGGGUGCAGCAAUUCAAAUAUUAAGUC